AGCGUAGCUCAGGGGUAGAGCAGCUGUUUCGUAAACAGCAGGUCAUGGGUUCGAUUCCCUUCGCU
rnacentral:tRNA from 1 species